GAUGAACGCUGGCGGCGUGCCUAAUACAUGCAAGUCGAGCGAACAGAUGAGGAGCUUGCUCCUCUGACGUUAGCGGCGGACGGGUGAGUAACACGUGGAUAACCUACCUAUAAGACUGGGAUAACUUCGGGAAACCGGAGCUAAUACCGGAUAAUAUAUUGAACCGCAUGGUUCAAUAGUGAAAGACGGUUUUGCUGUCACUUAUAGAUGGAUCCGCGCCGCAUUAGCUAGUUGGUAAGGUAACGGCUUACCAAGGCAACGAUGCGUAGCCGACCUGAGAGGGUGAUCGGCCACACUGGAACUGGGACACGGUCCAGACUCCUACGGGAGGCAGCAGUAGGGAAUCUUCCGCAAUGGGCGAAAGCCUGACGGAGCAACGCCGCGUGAGUGAUGAAGGUCUUCGGAUCGUAAAACUCUGUUAUUAGGGAAGAACAAAUGUGUAAGUAACUGUGCACGUCUUGACGGUACCUAAUCAGAAAGCCACGGCUAACUACGUG
rnacentral:rRNA from 1 species